rnacentral:rRNA from 1 species
UACAGAGGUCUCAAGCGUUGUUCGGAUUCAUUGGGCGUAAAGGGCGCGUAGGCGGCGCGGUAAGUCGGGUGUGAAAUCUCGGGGCUUAACUCUGAAACUGCAUUCGAUACUGCCGUGCUUGAGGACUGGAGAGGAGACUGGAAUUUACGGUGUAGCGGUGAAAUGCGUAGAUAUCGUGAGGAACACCAGUGGCGAAGGCGGGUCUCUGGACAGUUACUGACGCUGAGGCACGAAAGUCAGGGGAGCAAACGGG